CAGUCGCCGCGGGAAUACGUAGGGUGCAAGCGUUAAUCGGAAUUACUGGGCGUAAAGCGUGCGCAGGCGGUUAUAUAAGUCAGAUGUGAAAUCCCCGGGCUCAACCUGGGAACUGCAUUUGUGACUGUAUAGCUAGAGUACGGCAGAGGGGGAUGGAAUUCCGCGUGUAGCAGUGAAAUGCGUAGAUAUGCGGAGGAACACCGAUGGCGAAGGCAAUCCCCUGGGCCUGUACUGACGCUCAUGCACGAAAGCGUGGGGAGCAAACAGGAUUAGAUACCCCGGAGUCCCUGUCUCUUAUACA
rnacentral:rRNA from 1 species